rnacentral:lncRNA from 1 species
AUUUUCUCCAAAGAGGGAAAUAAAACAGGUCUUUAGGAUAUAUAAAUGUGGAAUAUAUAAAAUAUUAAAUGUGCAUUUAAAGCCACAUGCAUAUAUUUAGCCUUUUUCUUCCGUACUCAGAGGACGGGAGCGUUGCGAGAGGCAUCCUCGGCCCCACCGCCGGGAAGAGAGCCCCGGGGGUGACGUGCGCGGACCCCAGCGGGAACUGCGCUGCCUGGCAGAUUUGGGGGGAGGGCGGCAGCAAUCUCGGGGAUGGAGGAGCCCCUACUCCCAGCUCGUCUUCAGGGGCCCUCCCCUCCCCCUACUGCCCCACUGGAUGCUGACCACUCGCUCGGAGCGUAAGGUGGGAUCUGAAGAAAACCUGCCUGCAAUUCCUACAGAUUUUGAAAGUGAAGAAGGGCUGAACACAUAAAUUUGCAGCCAUGUGUUAUGGGGAAUGCCACUGCUGGUCCCAGUAUUC